GGGCACGACACCGGAGAGGGAGCCUGAGAAACGGCUACCANNNNNNNNNNNGGCAGCAGGCGCGCAAAUUACCCAAUCCCGACACGGNNNNGUAGUGACAAUAAAUAACAAUACGGGGUUCUUUAGGAUCUCGUAAUUGGAAUGAGUACAAUUUAAAUCUCUUAACGAGGAACAAUUGGAGGGCAAGUCUGGUGCCAGCAGCCGCGGUAAUUCCAGCUCCAAUAGCGUAUAUUAAAGUUGUUGCAGUUAAAAAGCUCGUAGUUGAAUUUCGGGGUUAGUAGGUUGGUCAUGCCUCUGGUAUGUACUGGUCUCACUGAUUCCUCCUUCCUUAUGAACCGUAAUGCCAUUAAUUUGGUGUUGCGGGGAAUUUGGACUGUUACUUUGAAAAAAUUAGAGUGUUUAAAGCAAGCUAACGCUUGAAUACAUUAGCAUGGAAUAAUGAAAUAGGACGUUCGAUCUUAUUUUGUUGGUUUCUAGGAUUGACGUAAUGAUUAAUAGGGAUAGUUGGGGGCAUUAGUAUUCAAUUGUCAGAGGUGAAAUUCUUGGAUUUAUUGAAGACUAACUACUGCGAAAGCAUUUGCCAAGGAUGUUUUCAUUAAUCAAGAACGAAAGUUAGGGGAUCGAAGACGAUCAGAUACCGUCGUAGUCUUAACCAUAAACUAUGCCGACUAGGGAUCGGAUGAUGUUAAUUUUUUAAUGACUCAUUCGGCGCCUUACGGGAAACCAAAGUG
rnacentral:rRNA from 1 species